GCUGGAGGUAUCAGAAGUGCGAAUGCUGACAUAAGUAACGAUAAAGCGGGUGAAAAGCCCGCUCGCCGGAAGACCAAGGGUUCCUGUCCAACGUUAAUCGGGGCAGGGUGAGUCGACCCCUAAGGCGAGGCCGAAAGGCGUAGUCGAUGGGAAACAGGUUAAUAUUCCUGUACUUGGUGUUACUGCGAAGGGGGGACGGAGAAGGCUAUGUUGGCCGGGCGACGGUUGUCCCGGUUUAAGCGUGUAGGCUGGUUUUCCAGGCAAAUCCGGAAAAUCAAGGCUGAGGCGUGAUGACGAGGCACUACGGUGCUGAAGCAACAAAUGCCCUGCUUCCAGGAAAAGCCUCUAAGCAUCAGGUAACAUCAAAUCGUACCCCAAACCGACACAGGUGGUCAGGUAGAGAAUACCAAGGCGCUUGAGAGAACUCGGGUGAAGGAACUAGGCAAAAUGGUGCCGUAACUUCGGGAGAAGGCACGCUGAUAYGUAGGUGAAGUCCCUCGCGGAUGGAGCUGAAAUCAGUCGAAGAUACCAGCUGGCUGCAACUGUUUAUUAAAAACACAGCACUGUGCAAACACGAAAGUGGACGUAUACGGUGUGACGCCUGCCCGGUGCCGGAAGGUUAAUUGAUGGGGUUAGCGSWAGCGAAGCUCUUGAUCGAAGCCCCGGUAAACGGCGGCCGUAACUAUAACGGUCCUAAGGUAGCGAAAUUCCUUGUCGGGUAAGUUCCGACCUGCACGAAUGGCGUAAUGAUGGCCAGGCUGUCUCCACCCGAGACUCAGUGAAAUUGAACUCGCUGUGAAGAUGCAGUGUACCCGCGGCAAGACGGAAAGACCCCGUGAACCUUUACUAUAGCUUGACACUGAACAUUGAGCCUUGAUGUGUAGGAUAGGUGGGAGGCUUUGAAGUGUGGACGCCAGUCUGCAUGGAGCCGACCUUGAAAUACCACCCUUUAAUGUUUGAUGUUCUAACGUUGACCCGURAUCCGGGUUGCGGACAGUGUCUGGUGGGUAGUUUGACUGGGGCGGUCUCCUCCUAAAGAGUAACGGAGGAGCACGAAGGUUGGCUAAUCCUGGUCGGACAUCAGGAGGUUAGUGCAAUGGCAUAAGCCAGCUUGACUGCGAGCGUGACGGCGCGAGCAGGUGCGAAAGCAGGUCAUAGUGAUCCGGUGGUUCUGAAUGGAAGGGCCAUCGCUCAACGGAUAAAAGGUACUCCGGGGAUAACAGGCUGAUACCGCCCAAGAGUUCAUAUCGACGGCGGUGUUUGGCACCUCGAUGUCGGCUCAUCACAUCCUGGGGCUGAAGUAGGUCCCAAGGGUAUGGCUGUUCGCCAUUUAAAGUGGUACGCGAGCUGGGUUUAGAACGUCGUGAGACAGUUCGGUCCCUAUCUGCCGUGGGCGCUGGAGAACUGAGGGGGGCUGCUCCUAGUACGAGAGGACCGGAGUGGACGCAUCACUGGUGUUCGGGUUGUCAUGCCAAUGGCACUGCCCGGUAGCUAAAUGCGGAAGAGAUAAGUGCUGAAAGCAUCUAAGCACGAAACUUGCCCCGAGAUGAGUUCUCCCUGAC
rnacentral:rRNA from 1 species